CCGCAGGGCUUGAUCGAUGCGGCCGAGCGCGAAAAAGACAUCCGCUAUUCCAGCCGCACCCGCUUGAACACCGACAAGGCCAAAAGGAUUCACGACGCCAAGAAGGCCGUGCGUGAACUGAUCGCCAAGUUGCCGGAGAGCUUCAAGGGCGAUCCGCUGGUUGCGCAGCUCAACGAAGCAGCGAAAGAAAACCCCAUCACGGUGGUUCACCUGAUCUAUCGCAGCAAGACCCAUGAAGCCUCGUCGAAGGAU
rnacentral:misc_RNA from 1 species